UGGCGGACGGGUGAGUAAUGUCUGGGAAACUGCCUGAUGGAGGGGGAGUAACUACUGGAAACGGUAGCUAAUACCGCAUAACGUCGCAAGACCAAAGAGGGGGACCUUCGGGCCUCUUGCCAUCGGAUGUGCCCAGAUGGGAUUAGCUAGUAGGUGGGGUAACGGCUCACCUAGGCGACGAUCCCUAGCUGGUCUGAGAGGAUGACCAGCCACACUGGAACUGAGACACGGUCCAGAUCCUACGGGAGGCAGCAUG
rnacentral:rRNA from 1 species